UGACCAGACUCCUACGGGAGGCAGCAGUGGGGAAUAUUGCACAAUGGGGGAAACCCUGAUGCAGCGACGCCGCGUGAGCGAUGAAGUAUUUCGGUAUGUAAAGCUCUAUCAGCAGGGAAGAAGAUGACGGUACCUGACUAAGAAGCCCCGGCUAACUACGUGCCAGCAGCCGCGGUAAUACGUAGGGGGCAAGCGUUAUCCGGAUUUACUGGGUGUAAAGGGAGCGUAGACGGCGAUGCAAGCCAGAUGUGAAAGCCCGUGGCUCAACCCCGGGACUGCAUUUGGAACUGUGUGGCUGGAGUGUCGGAGAGGCAGGCGGAAUUCCUAGUGUAGCGGUGAAAUGCGUAGAUAUUAGGAGGAACACCAGUGGCGAAGGCGGCCUGCUGGACGAUGACUGACGUUGAGGCUCGAAAGCGUGGGGAGCAAACAGGAUUAGAUACCCCCGUAC
rnacentral:rRNA from 1 species